rnacentral:rRNA from 1 species
CGACUGUUUAGCAAAAACACAGGUCUGUGCGAAGCCGCAAGGCGAAGUAUACGGGCUGACGCCUGCCCGGUGCUGGAAGGUUAAGGGGAGUGGUUAGGAGCAAUCCGAAGCUAUGAACCGAAGCCCCAGUAAACGGCGGCCGUAACUAUAACGGUCCUAAGGUAGCGAAAUUCCUUGUCAGGUAAAUUCUGACCCGCACGAA